rnacentral:lncRNA from 1 species
UUUUUUUAUUUUUAUUUUUAUUUUUUUGCUUUUUAUUUUAUUUUUUUUUGUCCUUUUGCUAUUUCUUUGGGCUGCUUCUGUGGCAUAUGGAGGUUCCCAGGCUAGGGGUCUAAUCAGAGCUGUAGCCGCUGGCCUACGCCAGAGCCAUAGCAACGCGGGAUCCGAGCCGCAUCUGCAACCUACACCACAGCUCACGGCAACGCCGGAUCAUUAACCCACUGAGCAAGGCCAGGGAUCGAACCCGCAACCUCAUGGUUCCUAGUUGGAUUUGUUAACCACUGCGCCAUGACGGGAACUCCGCAUUGUACAUAUUAAUUUAAAACUAGCCUUUUCUAGGAGUUCCCUGGUGGCACAGGGAGUUAAGGAUCCAGCAUUGUCACGGUAGUGGCCUGGGAUGCUUCUGUGGUACAAGUUUGAUCCCCUGGACCUGGAACUUCCACCUGCCUUGGGUGUGGGCAAAAAGAAAAUAAGAACUAGACUUUUUUGAAAACCCCUGCCUGAACGUUUUUGGAAAGUUCGAGUCUUUUAGCAUGAACUCCUUGCUUGGCACACUGCACAUAAAUCCUUACUUGGCUGGAUGUGGGGUGGUGGAAACUACCCUUUUUUGAACCUAAAAAUAUGAAAAAUUUCAUGUCAUUAAUUACUUUUAGCCAAGAUCGUUUUUUCAUCUUUUACAGCUUUAUUGACAUGUAACUGACAUACAAUAAACCACACAUAUUUAAUGAAACCAUCUCUGCAGUCAAGAUAAGGAACAUAUUCAUUGCCUGCAAAAGGUUCCUUGUACAUCUUUGUAACUUCACUUCCCUCCCUUUCUAUACCCUCCCUCUAUCUCCAGGCAACCAAUGGUCUGUUUUCUGUUACUACAGAUUAGUCUGCAUUUUCUAGAAUUUUCUAUAAAUAAAAUCAUACACUAUGCACUCUUUUUGGGUUCUUUCAGCAUAUUUAAGUUUCAUGUUGUUGUGUCUAUCAAUAGUUCAAUCCUUUUUAUUGCUGAAUAGUAUUCCAUCGUACAGAGAGACCACAAUUUGUUUUGCCACUCACAUGCUAAUGGAUGUUGGAUUGUCUUCGCUUUGGGGCUGUAACAAAUAAAAUCUGCCAUGAGCAUUCAUGUACGAGUCUUUGCAUGGUCAAACGAUUUUCUUCUUCCUUGGGUCCAAGGUAAUUUUGAUGCCUGCAUAAUAUGCCACAGUUAAUUCAACCCUUAUUUUUGAUGUUUAGAUUGACCUUUUUUUGUCUUCCUUUUAAAAAAAUUUUUUUUCAAGUAUAGUUGAUUUACACUGUUGUAUUAAUUUCUGCUAAACAGCAAAGUGACUCAGUUAUACAUAUAUAUAUACUUUUUCAUAUUCUUUUCCAUUAUGGUUUAUCACAGGAAUUGAAUUUAGUUCCCUGUGCUAUACAGUAGUACCCUGUGGUUUAUCUAUCCUAAACAUAAUAAUUUGCCUCCACUAAUCCCAAACUCCCAGUCCUUCCCUUCCCCAUCUAGGCUGACUCUUGAUUUGAGUUUCCGGAAAGCAGAGUCUGAGGCAAGGAUUUGGGUGCAGGUAAUUUACUUCAGAGGAGACCCCAGGAAGCAGAAGCGAAGGGGUGGGGAGAGUGGGUCAGGGAAAGGAGCAAAUCCCAAAAGGUGCGUUAGUGACCUGUAAUCACCGUGGGCAGGUGGAGCUCAAUCCCAUGGGGUCCUAAUCAGGACUCGUAAAGAAUAGUCCCUGAAGUGGUCUUGCUGAAGAAAGGAGAAGCUGGGCAUUCAUUGGCCAGAUCUUUCUCCCACUGGGGGAGGGUUGUUCCCUGAGAGUGUUAACCAUCUCACCGUUUUCGGCUAUGUCUGGCGCAAGCAAAAUGGUCUUCUGAGGCAUCCAAGAAAAGCCCUGAAGCCAAAAAGCCUUGGUGAGCCUGGGGCAGGAGGCUGGGAUCAUGCAUGGAAGUGUUCAUCACAGGUGCGCUAAGGUCAAGGGGCUGAGCUGGGUGGCACAGAGCAUACCCAUGUCUGGUUUCCUGAUUUGCUGUGAUACAGCAUCGAACAUCUUUGCACUUGUACUCUGAUGCAUACGCAUGAUCAUUUCCUUAAGUUCACAGAUGUGGAGUUAUUAGAUCAAAGGGUUUGUACAUUUGAAGGGUGUGAGCCUGGGCACCACAUCACUCUCUGGAAAGGCCUCAGUUUACUUUCUCAAAGGAUCCAUAUGAGAACGCCUGUUUCUCUAGUCUUCUAUCAAUAAUGAGCAUUUUUAUUAAAUGAAUGAACAAGCAGACACUUGUCAAAAUAUCAAAAUGAAGAGUUCCCUGGUGGCACACUGGGUUAAGGAUCAGGCAUUGUCACUACUGAGACAUGGGUUUGAUCCCUGGCCUGGGAUCUUCCGCAUGCUGUGGGCAUAGCCAAAAAAUUUUAAGAAAAACAAUUUUUAAAUAUCAGAAUGAUAUACAAUUUUUAUGUCCAACUUAAGUAUAAGCCUCAUAGGCAGUUCCUGUUGUGGCUCAGUGGUUAACGAAUCCGAUUAGGAACCAUGAGGUUGCAGGUUUGAUCCCUGGCCUCGCUCAGUGGGUUGAUUGAGCAUUGACAUGAACUGUGGUGUAGGUUGCAGAUGCGGUUCGGAUCUGGCGCGGCUGUGGAACCACAGCCACAGCAACACCAGAUCCAAGCUGCAUCUGCGACCUACACCACAGCUUACCGCAACGCUGGAUCCUUAGCCCACUGAGCGAGGCCAGGGAUCAAACCCACAUCCUCAUGGUUCCUAGUCAGAUUCGUUUCCGCUGCACCAUGACGGGAACUCCUGGCAUAAUUUCUUACGUUUUAUCCAACAGCCUGUCUUGAUUGGAAUCCCCCGGGUCCUCAGGAGGUACAGGACUUUUUGACCCUUGGUCAUCUCAGAGCUCAGGCCAAUGGCCCUGGCUAGAGGCUUUAUGUCUAGUGUGGCUAGAGCAGCUGCCUCAAGACCCUAAGUUUUAGUUCAUUAAGACAUGCGAGGAAGAGUUUUUUUAGUAGAGAGAGAAAAACAGUUGCUGGUAUUUCAUUUUGGGCAUGAAGCAUGAUCGCAUAUUCCUGGCCAAGACCCAAUUGUGUCUCUGAGCUUCUGGGCUUUUCUCUGUCCUGGUGAAAACCUGUUGGGCUGGCAUGGCUCGUGUCCUGGACUCAUGCCUCUCCCUUUCCCUGACAGCUGUGCUCCAGCAGGCAGUG